rnacentral:rRNA from 1 species
GCCUAAGUUUCAGCGGGGGAUUCCCACCCGUCCAAGGUCCGGGACUGAAUGGAAGUUAAAGCGUAACAAGGUUUCCGUAGGUGAACCUGCGGAAGGAUCAUU